rnacentral:rRNA from 1 species
UGUUGACCUCGGAUCAGGUAGGAAUACCCGCUGAACUUAAGCAUAUCAAUAAGCGGAGGAAAAGAAACCAACAGGGAUUGCCCUA